rnacentral:rRNA from 1 species
UACGUAGGGUGCGAGCGUUGUCCGGAAUUAUUGGGCGUAAAGGGCUCGUAGGCGGUUUGUCGCGUCGGGAGUGAAAACGCCGUGCUUAACACGGCGCUUGCUUUCGAUACGGGCAGACUAGAGGUAUUCAGGGGAGAACGGAAUUCCUGGUGUAGCGGUGAAAUGCGCAGAUAUCAGGAGGAACACCGGUGGCGAAGGCGGGUCUCUGGGCCGUAACUGACGCUGAGGAGCGAAAGCGUGGGGAGCGAACAGG